AUAACUUCCGGUGACUUUUUUUUUUCAACUUCAUCAUUCGCUCACUCUCAUUUAUGGGUCGCAGCGCAAGUCAUGUGAAUCGACUGCUUGGUCAAACACGAAUAUCAGUCGACCCUGUAUUUCCCGUUUCCUUUUCCGCAGGGGAAAAAAAAAGAAUAAAAAAAAAAAGGAAAAGAUUUAAAUGCAUAAAUAACGUCCGUGUUAAAUACCAAAAGAAUACGAAAACAGGUCAUUUUCACGGAUUGUUUUGCUAGUAAAGCUUUGAAUUCAAUGGAAUGGAAACCGACCAUUUUGAUAAUUCGCAUUUUAGUGGGACAAAUUAAAUCAUGAAAUUUUGCUGUGUGCUUUCGUACGGCGACGAUAACGGUUUGUGAAGAUGCAGUUUGAAUGAGUUACAUUGGAAUGGUGGUUUUGUCUUCUACUGGCUUGUAGCAGAUGAAUGCUUUUUAGUUCUCUGUUAACGACCAUAUAAAACAGUACCAGGUAAUUCUUGUCCAGCCGAGCACAUUAAGUCACUUCAAUUAUGUUUAUUAUAAAUUACGACAUUUCUAAAAUAAAGUGAUACAACUACUCUGUAAAUAUGAAAACUCUGCACAUACUCACACUGUUUUCUUGUACUCUGACGAGUAUAAAGAGGCCGUCAGCAAAACAUAAUAUAGCAGGUGACGGGACCAAUACUGAUGACAACAAGGCGACGCAACAUUUUCAACAGCAAGUGGACAAUAGAGUUCCCAAAUCGGGCUAUUACCACUUACUACAACAUAACAUUUUUCUUUUUUUUUUUUAUUUUGUCGUAAUAGGAAGUAUUGCAAUAAGCCACUUGGAGUAUUAUUUUGCCAUAUCGACAAGGAUACUCCGAAAAAAAAGAAUAAAUUGAGGUCAAAAUUCUAUCGACAGCAAAUGCGUCCCAUUUUUUAUAAAAAGGUCAAUGAUAACAUAGUCGCUGUUACUAGGAAACAUUUUUUUUUGAAUCUGCCCACCGCAAAAAUAAAAAAUAAAAAUAUAUAUUGUUGAACCAG